rnacentral:pre_miRNA from 1 species
GUAAACUUAGAAACUAUUAUUGGAUAAAAAAAUAGAUGUACGAGAUUCGUCCACGUCACCAUAAGUUAAAAUUUAACUCUCAGUAAAAUUUUAACUCAUGGUGACGUUGACGAAUCUCGGACGUCCAUUUCUCGAUCCAACGGUAGUUUUCAAGUUUUU